AUCUUUGCACUUGGGGCAAUGACGCAGCUAAUGAGUUAAUAGCCGAGGCGCGUCUAUUGCCUGGUUGAAAACUAUUUCCAACCCUCUCUUUGGGCCUCUAAGAUUGUUCUAUGCUUAUUGAAAAUUUCUAGAAGGGCUCCCGUUAUGGUAAAGCC